rnacentral:rRNA from 1 species
UACGAAGGGUGCAAACGUUGCUCGGAAUCAUUGGGCGUAAAGCGCACGUAGGCGGCUCCAAAAGUCGGAUGUGAAAUCCCUGGGCUCAACCGAGGAAGUGCAUCCGAAACUGCGGAGCUUGAGUAUGGAAGAGGGUCGCGGAAUUCCCGGUGUAGAGGUGAAAUUCGUAGAUAUCUGGAGGAACACCAGUGGCGAAGGCGGCGACCUGGGCCAAUACUGACGCUGAGGUGCGAAAGCGUGGGGAGCAAACAGG